rnacentral:tRNA from 1 species
AUCUUGCUGGCUCAGGGGGUAGAGCAUAUGACUCUUGAUCUUGAGGUUGUGAGCUCGAACCCCAUGUAGGACU